AAACCAGCACCUCAAGUGGUCAGGAUGAUUAUUGGGCCUAAAGCAUCCGUAGCCGGCUCUGUAAGUUUUCGGUUAAAUCUGUAUGCUCAACAUACAGGCCGCCGGGAAUACUGCAGAGCUAGGGAGUGGGAGAGGUAGACGGUACUCGGGAGGAAGUGGUAAAAUGCUUUGAUCUCUCGAUGACCACCUGUGGCGAAGGCGGUCUACCAGAAUACGUCCGACGGUGAGGGAUGAAAGCUGGGGGAGCAAACCGGAUUAGAAACCCGAGUAGUCC
rnacentral:rRNA from 1 species